CAUAGUUAGUAUAAUGUUUAUAUGCUCUGCUAACAGUAAAGUGAAGAUUAGCAUGAUCUUUGUGCAAGGAUGACACAUACAAAUCGAGAAGAUUCAUUUUUAUGU
rfam:Cicer arietinum chromosome Ca8, whole genome shotgun sequence.